rnacentral:rRNA from 1 species
GGCACUGCCCGGUAGCUAAAUGCGGAAGAGAUAAGUGCUGAAAGCAUCUAAGCACGAAACUUGCCCCGAGAUGAGUUCUCCCUGACCCUUUAAGGGUCCUGAAGGAACGUUGAAGACGACGACGUUGAUAGGCCGGGUGUGUAAGCGCAGCGAUGCGUUGAGCUAACCGGUACUAAUGAACCGUGAGGCUUAACCUUACAACGCCGAAGCUGUU